CAUUAAUUUAUUUGCAAUUUUGCGAGUAUUUCUUGUGGUUUUAGGCAAAUGAAGGAAAUUCUUUGGCUGUUUCAUCACAGCGAGGUCAUUCUUGGGAUCGCCCACUGUAGGGUGUGAAGUGGCGGGAAAAAUAUUAUGUGGACAUGGCUCUCCCUUUUUGGUCUUCGGUCGGCGCCUUACAUCUUCACUGCUAUCGCAGAUGUGGUGCAGUGAAUGUAGACAUCUCACCAUGGUGUUGAUUUCCUCUGUCAUUAUUUACUAUAGAUGACUUUCUCACUCUGGGUCCCCCCUCCUCUCCAGUUUGUUACAACAGCUUGCAGGCGUGUAUUCAGCUGUGUUCCAAACUUGGCCUCCCCCUUCACCCAGACAAGCUGGAGGGCCUGUCUACUUGUCUCUCCUUUCUAGUUAUCGAGCUGGACUCAGUCAAGAUGCAGGCACGGGUUCCCAUUGACAAAAGAGAGCGCAUCGUCACUCUACUGGAGUCCUGGUCUGACAAGCGAUUCUGCAAGUGGCAGGAGUUAGAGUUCCUUGUUGGCCUCCUCCACCAUGCAUGCAACAUCGCCCCCCAGGGUUGAACGUUCCUCCGUUGCAUGUACUGUGUACUUUGAGAUGUGAUGAUCAUCCCAUUUGUCUAAACCAGGAAUCCUGCUCGGACCUUACCUGGUGGUGCGAACUUUUCCACAGGUGGGAUGGGCUCAGCUUCUUCCUGAUGCCAGAAUGGGCUCCCAUCCCUGAUUUUCAAGUUUCUUCUGAUGCCACCGGCACUCUGGGCUAUGGAGCCAUCUUCCAGCACCAGUGGUUCUGCGGUCCAUGGUCAGCAUCACAGCAACCCCUGUCUAUUGCGUACAGGGAGCUCUUUCCCAUUGUUGUGGCUGCAUACUUAUGGGGUCCUCAGUGGUCUUCUAGGCGGGUCGAGUUCCUGUGUGACAAUGAGUCGGUGGUGGCUGUUCUGUCUUCUGGUACCUUCCGGGACUCUAAAUUAAUGUUUUUGAUGCAUUUUUUAGCAUUGUUGGCAGUGCGCCGUUCGUUUUCCUUUAAGGCCUCAUCUGUUACCGACACUCUUUUACAUUUUCAGUUUCAAAGAUUCAGACGCCUGGCCCCUUGGGUGGGCCUUGCUGCGGCCCCAGGUCCUCUGGAUCUCCUCAAAGCCCUGCUUGUCACUUGCCCUUUCUUCAACUCACCCGGGGCCUCCGUCCGGGGCUCCCAGGGCCACGUCGUGCUCUGGGCGGCAUGCUGCCUUGGUUUCUUUGGUUUCUUGCAUGCUGAUGGGUUUGCAGCUAACUCUCUGUUUGAUCCAAGCGUUGGCCUGGGGGUUAGUGAUGUGCAGGCCAAUACCCUGCAGGUGCUUGAGGACGGAUCUUUUUCGCGUUGGCUGCUGCCUCUGCAUCGGUCAGCGCAGUAAUGUCGUCUCCCCUUUGGUAGCUCUGGGCAAUUUCUUGGCUGUGUGUGGCCCUUCCCCAGGGCCAUUGUUUUGUUUUGCUGAUGGUCGUCCCUUAACACGCCAACUGCUGUCUUUGGUAGGCUGCUCGGGUAGUUGCUCUGGCCAUAGCUUCCGGAUUAGUGCUGCCACUACAGCACCUUCCUGGGGACUGCCAGAUCACCUGAUUAAGACUUGAGGUCGCUGGUCUAGUGGCGUUUGUCAGCACUGUGUCUGCACAUCGGCUGGCUCUCUUGGCGGGCUGGUGUAUCAGCGUAGCAGGUUUGGCGUUUAUGAGUUUUCUUUUACUUGGGUUGGGUGCCUCAGGUCUGGCCCCUUGGGAGCUGUGGCUUAUGGGCCAUGAGCCCCCAUCUCUCCAGUCUGGGUCAGCCUAGAGGCCCUUUUGGCAGGGGAGGUGGGGAUUGUGGCUGGGUUGCAGGGAAGGGCAGGCUUUUGAGAUGCUCUUGCUACCUGAGUUUGGGGUGGGCAGCUCCAGCCCCCAGGUUCCUGGGCACCCAACCUCCCUGUGUGACUCGCGCAUUAAAUGAGGUUAAAUAUACUUAUUUAACUUAGUUAACGACAAGGAGCAUGUUGCUCAGUAGUUGGCGUGGCGUUGGCAUGGCAUUGGCAUUUAUUAGCGUUUUUGGUGGCAUGAUGUGGCAUUUGGUUUGUUGCUUGGGUUUGCGUUACUGUAGUAGGCCUGGUGCGGAGCAGUUUCCUGUGCCCCCGGGUCAGUGGUUUAUUGUUGCAAUUUAUCCAUGUGCCUUUACAUGUGGUUGUAGUUUUUACUGUGCGAAGUCUUCGGGGCAUCUUGAUCAGUUUUAGAGUUUCUUUAGUGUUUGCUCCCAUCCUCCUCACCCUUUGUUAUUAUUACCUUAUUUAUUAUUACUGAAUUAGUAUGUUUAUUGUUUAUUUUGUUAUUUAUUAUUAUUGUUAUUAUUGUUAUUAUUAUUAUUAUUAUUUUUAUUGUUUGUUAUUGUUAUUAUUUUUAUUAUUUCCUCUGAGCUCCUGGCUUUGUGUGACAGGUGCUUACCCUGGGGCUGGGUAUGAGGAAUUCAUAAAAAAAGGCUGACAUUUUAAAUUUUUAUAUCGUGCUUGAGUAGGAUGCAAUUUCAUUUUGAACACUGUUUUCAUAAAUCUAGACAUACUGUGUAUACAGUAAACUGGAUGCUAAUUUGUCAGCAGAAUUGAAUAAUUUUACUAAGCUGAUACUGAUAAAAACAUAUUUUUUCUUGUCUAUUCUUAUCCACUUUAGAGAUACUCAAGAAUCAAGCUUUUGCUGCAUACAUGUAAAGUUCUCAUUUAUUACUGAUGGUGUGAACUGAUAUUGGCAAAGCAGAUCAUCACAAUGUCUAAAGCUGCAACCAACGCUAGCAGCAGUUCAGAGGAUGAUGUUGCUUUUAAAGAAGGCAAACCUGAUGACCUUGAACUAGAUGAGCUGGCGGGAAAGAUUGCUGCAAAGUGGCAGGAGCUAGGACUUCACCUUGGCAUUUGUCAGGAUGUACUGGACGAAAUACAGGCUAAUCAAGAAAGAA